GGGGAUGUAGCUCAGUGGAAGAGCACCCACCUAGCAGAUGCAAGUCUCUAGGUUUAAUCCCCAGUAUCACCA
rnacentral:tRNA from 1 species